rnacentral:lncRNA from 1 species
GCAGACUAGAGCUAAGGAGGAGGAGAUUCAUAUUUUUUAAAACACAAAAAAGAGACUACAGGUUGGAUCUUAAAAGAAAAUUGACCACUGUUCCUCCUCCUUCUUCACGAAGCAACUGAACAACAACGAACAGAAAACACACGAAAACAAAAAGAAACCCUCUUCUGCUUCAACCUUCAUCAUCGUUCUCCUACAGCCCGCCUCCUCAUCGCCAGAGAAGAUGCUUCGUCACAGCCUAACCCACGGCCACCCUACUGCCCAAACGGACUGACCAAACAGCCUCCAGUCUUUCACGAACCACCAGCCUGCUGCGUCUUCCAACCCUCACGCUGACCACCUCCGAGCUCCAGCCACUGCUGCUGCUUCCCCGUCAACCACCCUACAGCAGUCCGCCAUAGCCACGCCGGAAAAAUCAACCAGUCCAGUCGCGGCUUCCAUCGUCGACCACCCUAGACCUCACGUCAAACGAUCAAACCAAGGAGGUAAUACUACUGUUCUUGAUAAUCUUCUCCCUCUGAAGAACUAACAAAAUACGCUAACGCCUAAACCUCCGAGCUCCAGCUACUGCUGCUGCUUCCCCGUCAACCACCCUACAGCAGUCCGCCAUAGCCACGCCGGAAAAAUCAACCAGUCCAGUCGCGGCUUCCAUCGUCGACCACCCUAGACCUCACGUCAAACGACCAAACCACACUUCCACCAAGCACUAGUCCACUGCCCAGUCACGCCAAACCCACCGACCGACAUCCAGUCCGUCAACCUCACGUCGCCAUUGACGCAGCAGGUGCUGCGUCGUUCAUCUUCCUCAGCCCAGCGACAAACCAUGUAACGGACCAAACGUCCACCAGUUAUUUUCCGGCGAGUUUCGAGUGCGAUUUGGAGUAGAGGUUCGAGUUUUCCGUCGAGGUCCGUUUGUAGUUCCGUCAAGGGUCGAUAAAUUUUCCGGGUAUGUUUUGUUGCGUUGUUUUAUCUAGUUAUAGGUAUGUGACUAUACUUUUUGAGUUUUGUUAAGAUAUUAAUCGAAAAUCUGGGUUACAUACUACUUUGUGUUUGUUAUGAAUAUUCAUGCAUUUUCUUGCUUGAGUAUAAUACCGAGUAUAACAUGCCUGCCUUCAACUUGUAGGUUGUUAUUUUGCAUUGCAUUUUGUUAAAUGUGUUUGGAUAGUUAAUAUUUAAUUAUUUGUCUUAAUAGGUGCCUAUAUAUGUUCUGAAAAGAUUAUAUUAAUUUUAAUUCCUCAAAAAUGCUUUUUUCAUCAAAUAAGCUCAAUUCAUAUUUCGUGACCCUCGUGUUGUGAUUUUUAAUCCCUCAGAAAUUAGGGUGUGUUUUAGCUGAAUUUCCAUGGUCCUAGAUUGGAACAUGCGUAACAUUGUUAAUAAACUUGGACUUUGGGAUUUUGAGCCUUUCAAUUAUUUAGGUUGUUUUUAUUUUUUAAAAUAGAAAACAUAGUCACUUUAAUAUAUCCUUAAAAUAAAUGAGGUGUGCCUCUCCAAAUUAAAUCGCAAAUUGCGGGGCCAUCAUAAAUGUAUAUAUUAAAAAUACUUAGACUCCGGGAUGGGCCGUUUAGCUAAUUGCACGGCCUUCCCCAAAAUAAUAACGCGUUAGACUCGUUAGGAGCGUAUUUUAAUAACAUUACCUUCUUAAACCUGGGUGUACAUUGAUGUGACCCAAAUCCAAGUCUCAACGAAGUCAGAAUAUGUCGACGAUCACAUGUCAACUGGUUGGGACGUGGUUCGAGAUGCAUUUUCACGAUGUUGCAAUUCUUUUUAAAAAAAAAUUAACAAAUGAGGCGUGCCUCGCCAAUUAAAAUACGUAAGUUGCGAGGCCCUCUAUACGUGUUUGUAGAGUUAGUCAACUUCGGACGGGCCGUUUAGCAAAACUGCACGGCCUUCUCCAAGAGCGACUGUGCUAGAACCACGGAACUCGGAAAUGCUUAACACCUUCUCCCGUGUUAACAGAAUUCCUUAUCCGGAUUUCUGGUUUGCGGACUGUGAUACAGAGUCAAUCUUUUUUCCUCGAUUCGGGAUUCAAUCGGUGACUUGGGACACUAUAAAUCUCCCAAGUGGCGACUCUGAAUCUUUAAUAACAAAUCUCGUUUCGAUUGUCCUUUAAUUGGAAAAACUUACUCUACGCCCCUGCGGGUGCCGGAAUAUGGAGGUGUGACAAUAUGUUCGAAUCUUUUCCUCCAUGUUUUGCUGCGACUAAUGCUGGUUCUGGUGGUGUUCACCGCGAACACAUGGGGUUGAUCAAGUUUACUAAGAGGUAUUUGAGCUGGAGGAUAUUUGAUCAUUGUGUUCGUGAUUGGGAACCUGCGUUUGCGAAGGUACGGGUGGAUGUGCAUCGCGAUAGGAGAUCGCUUUCGCGAAUGGGAAAAAGGUUGGGCCUGGAAACUUGGCUUUCGCGUUCGCGUUGGAGUGUCCGCAUCCGCGAAGAGGUGGCCUGAUGAAGCGUCAUGUUCGUGACCCCUGUCUCGCAUUCGCGAAGGGGAGUUUUGGAUCUGGAGCAGGAUGCUCUUCGCGAAUGUGAGGGUAAGGUCACAUUCGCGAAGAAGGUGGGGCUGGGUAGUGUUGUUUUUAAGACGAGAGGUGUGGUUCAUUUUCACUUCACUUCUUCCACAGGAUCCGACUUUGGAUUAAUUUUUGGAGCUCCAUUUUCAUAGUCAAUCAUGAGGUAAGUGAUUCUACACAUUGUGAGUUAAAUAUGAAUUUAAACAUGAGAUUUUAUGCAAAUUUUGGGAUUGGUAGAAUAUCUAGAAUGUUGUAUUUUUGAAUGUUGACCAUGAAAUUGCAUAUGAAAUUAGAAAUAAAUUAUAUAUUUGAGUUUGUGAUGUUAUGGGUAAUGAUUAUCUUCAAGAAUUUUUAGAAUCUGGUUACAUGGGCCCGAUGGUUGACUUUGUUGACUUUUCGAGCGGAGUUAAAAAUUAUUAUAAAUUAAUUUAAUAUCAGUGUUGUGGUAUAUUUUGAUUGAUUUGCAUGUUGUUUGGGUAGUUUUGGAUCAAUGGGCGUUGCUUGAGGUGUUAGAAAGGCAUUGGAGCCGGCUAUUGGAACUUUGGAAUGAGGUAAGUCUCCUGUCUAAACUUGUGAGGUAGGUAUUAAAUUGUUAUGUGCUACUAGUUGUGGGUGUUGCGUACGCACGAGGUGACGAAAGUUCGUACGUAGUUAAAGCAUGUUUAUAUCUGGGUAGACUUAGGACUCUAUCAUGUAAUACUUGAGUUAUUUGAACCCAAUUUGCUAGAGUGAUUAAUUGAAUGUAUAAUUUGGAAUCAAUUCAGGAACAUAUUAGGCCGAGCCUUAUCACCGUGAGUUAUUGGUAAAUUAUUUGAGAAAUGGUGGAGUUUAUUUUCACUUUAUGCUUUUGUACCUGUAUUGUAAGCACAUGACUCAUAAUUCGACAAGUUCCUUCAUUUCUUGUGGAUUGGGCCAAACCCCUCGUUAGUAUAUUGAGAUGCUUCACGUCGAUUACACACCACUCUGGAUCGGGUCGAAUGAUCUUAGCAUCAUCGUGUGUGAUAUCGCUAGCAGUUCGAAUAUUCAUGAGAUUUUCCCUUUUAUUGGGACUGAUCGUUUAUAUGGUAUUCCUUAUCCGUUUGAGAUUGCAUUUGAUAUUUCUUAUAUGUUGAGAUAGCAUAGGGGAUUUGAGAAAUUUAUAUUGUCGAAAUAAAUGUUGGAGGAUUAUGUUAGCUACUGUUUACCUCAUUAUCAUUGUUUUACUUCAUAUCUAUUAAUGAUUUUCCAUACUAAUUUAUUGGACCACUAGUAAGUAUCGAUAUCGAUCAUCGUCACUACUUCUCUGGGGUUAGGCUAGAUACUUACUGGGUACCCAUUGAUUUACAUACUCAUGCUAUACUUCUGCACUAAAUAUGCAGGAUCUGACAGGUUCAAUUGGUGGCCAUCUUAGUGCGUAGGCGCAAUUGCUGCGGGGUCUUCAUGGUGAGCUGUUUUUAUUCUACGCACCGCAACCCAUAGAGUCUUCAUCUUACUUAUUUACUUUAUCCGGUCUAUUUUAUACUUCAGACAUAUGUUUUAUUAUUAUUGCACUCUUUAGUAGAUGCUCAUGCACUUGUAACUCCGGAUUUUGGGAUAUUUUAUUUGAUGUAUACAGAUUUGCAUAUUAUCAUCACCUUUUAUUUUUAUGCCUUACUAAUUAUGUAUAAACCUAUGAUUUUAAAUGCGUAAAUUUCUUUACUUAAUAAAAUUUAUGUUUUCGAAAGUAAUAAAAUACGCAAUCACGUAAUAGGGUGUUAGUCUUUCCUCAAAUUUCAUUGUAUAUGUCACGAUCCAAGACCCAUUAUAGGUUGCCAUGAAAUUCAAGGAAAGAUUUAUAGCGCAUGGACUUAGGGACACUACAAGAGUAACAAAGAAUCAAUUUGAAUUUAUGUCUAGUAAAUCCACAACAAAAGCUAUUUUUGAUUAAAAGAUUAGUGAAAGUUUAUUGCAAGAGGAAGAAAGAUUUUCACAUAAUAUUCAUUAACCUAGAAAAAGCAUGUGUUAAGAGUACUAAGGAAAAAGUUUAGCAGUUAGAGAAGAAAAUAAUUUAUAUUAAAUAUAUAAUAUCACAAAGGACAUUUACAAAUAUUUCCAUUUACCAAAGUUGUAAAUUAAUGAUGGUGUUGAAGACAGAUUUGUCUAGUCUGGAAUCAAGAAAGACACUGACCAUCAAUUCCACAAAGUUCCUUUCACGAUUUGUGCUAUUAUUAAAAAUGGAAAGAUUCCAAAAUCAUCCCAGUGGGUAAAAUCUUGUUUUCCUUGUUAUAAUGACGAUAUGUUGAAAUCAACCACUCCUCCCUUAAGUUAUGUCAUUUGGAUAUAGCAAACAAAACAUAAUCUAUUUUUUUAUUUGGUACAUAAAUUGAAAGGUGAUAUACUUAAAUAUAAUAAACACAAACCUUAAACAUGGAUAGUAAUAAGGUUUGUUAUAUGAUAUGUAUAUAUAAAAAUCCCUUAUUAAAAAGGGAUCAUCUUGUUUCACUGAUUACUGAAGCCUAACUUCAUUACGGAAUCUCCUUUGCUUUACCUUCAACUAAAUAAUAAAAAAUUAAGGUUAUCCCUUUCAGAAUAAUAAUAAUAAUAAUAAACACUCCAACCACUCAAAUCAUGCACUCUACAAACACUGUUCUUAUGUAAAAUAAAAGGAAGUUAGAAUGGAUGGCCAUGAAGGAAAGUUAAAGUUUUUUAUUGAAGUGCCUUAAAUUAUUUUUAUAAUAAUUAAAUAUGUUGACGACGACCCGUGGAGCACAAAAAUUCCCCUCUCGUGUAUCUAUUAUUUUAUUUUAUUUUGGUUAGUGUUGUAUAAUCAGAAAAACGAAGCGUGACGAAGUUGAAAGUGGAUGAAGACGUGAUGGGCAAAUAAUGAAGAGAAAACAAUAUUAAUUAGGUCAAUACAGUAAAAAUACUAACACUGCUUAAGAAUAUGAGUUUUUUUUAAUUUGAUUAUUCUUUUGAUAAGUACAGAGGAAACGUGUUAACGUGCCGUGCUUGAAAAGCCCCAUCUCCCUUGCGACCAAGAAAGCCCGCCAAAUGGAUAAUGAAAAAGAAAAGACAAUAUUUUUAUAGGAUUAUAUGACUCGAUGGAUUGUUAAGAAAUUGAUUUAUCAUUUAUUUAUCUUUACGUACCAACCACCAGGAAUUAAAUUAUUGACUUGUCAAUAGACAUGAAGUCGUGCUAUUUGGCAACCUAUUCGACUCUAAUGUCACGGGUUUAGAGUCCGGCGCAGCACACAGAGCCUGUGCGGCGUCCCGAGGCCGCACACUACCUCGAGACAAGAUUUACCACACGCGGAAGCCAACCGGUUUCGCCCUGCCGUGGGCUCAUCAAGGGAGCGGCACUAGCCCCCGACCAGUUGAUCCCUUAGUCCUACUUCGGUCCCCUUCAUUGUCAAGUCCAUGACCAGCGACAAGCUCCCCAAACUUAACCGAGUCGGCCUGCCUGACUCGGCCAGAUCGAAGCAUCUAAGGGUGAACAACGCCUUAAUGCUAAUGUCGUCCCCAUAACCCAACGACGAAGUUCCAGAUGGUCCGCUCUUUUUUUUGGACUACACGGUCACGACAAACAGAUCGUGAUAUUCUCCCCCACCCAAAACCCAGCACGUCCUCGUGCUGUUGGGGAGAAGGACUCCGCCCAGGAUCCCGCAGAAUACUGUUAAUGAGCCGCGUUUCUUCGCUCAGUCGCACCUCACCUCGUGCAACCAGGCCUCGCUGAUGGCCUUCCAUGUCUUACCCCAGACCUUAGCAGGAUGGGGCAGUCAUGGGCACGAGCCCCCCGCCUAGGCAACGCACCCGCACAGUCCUCCCCUGAGGACCCCACCAUAACGCGCAGCAGCAAGUACGAUUCGGCUCUGAUACCACUUGUCACGGGCUUAGAGUCCGGCGCAGCACACAGCGCCCUUGCAGCGUCCCGAGGCCGCCCACUAUCUCGAGACAAGCCUUACCACACGCGGAAGCCAACCGGUUUCGCCCUGCCGUGGGCUCAUCAUGGGAACGGCACUAGCCCCGACCAGUGAUUCCUUAGUCCUACUUCGGUCCCCUUCAUUGUCAAGUCCAUGACCAGCGACAAGCUCCCCAAACUUAACCGGGUCGGCCUGCCUGACUCGGCCAGAUCGAAGCAUCUAAGGGAGAACGCCUUAUCGCUAAUGCCGUUCCCUUUAUUUCCCAACGACGAAAAUCCAGAUGGCCCGCUCUUUCAUUUGGUCUUUACGGUCACGACAAUCGGGUCGUGACAUUCUCCCCCACCGAAAACGCAGCACGCCCUCGUGCUGUAGGGGGAGAAGGACUCUGCCCAAGGAUCCCGUACAAUACUGCUAUGCUCCGCUCUUUUUUUUGGACUACACGGUCACGACAAACAGGUCGUGAUAUUCUCCCCCACCCAAAACCCAGCACGUCCUCGUGCUGUUGGGGAGAAGGACUCCGCCCAGGAUCCCGCAGAAUACUGUUAAUGAGCCGCGUUUCUUCGCUCAGUCGCACCUCACCUCGUGCAACCAGGCCUCGCUGAUGGCCUUCCAUGUCUUACCCCAGACCUUAGCAGGAUGGGGCAGUCAUGGGCACGAGCCCCCCGCCUAGGCAACGCAUCCGCACAGUCCUCCCCUAAGGACCCCACCAUAACGCGCAGCAGCAAGUACGAUUCGGCUCUGAUACCACUUGUCACGGGCUUAGAGUCCGGCGCAGCACACAGCGCCCUUGCGGCGUCCCGAGGCCGCCCACUAUCCUGAGACAAGCCUUAUCACACGCGGAAGCCAACCGGUUUCGCCCUGCCGUGGGCUCAUCAUGGGAGCGGCACUAGCCCCCGACCAGUGAUCCCUUAGUCCUACUUCGGUCCCCUUCAUUGUCAAGUCUAUGACCAGCGACAAGCUCCCCAAACUUAACCGGGUCGGCCUGCCUGACUCGGCCAGAUCGAAGCAUCUAAGGGAGAACGCCUUAUCGCUAAUGUCGUUCCCUUUAUUUCCCAACGACGAAAAUCCAGAUGGCACGCUUUUUCAUUUGGUCUUUACGGUCACGACAAUCGGGUCGUGACACUUGGCUAUAGAAACAAACUUGGAGGUCGGCCGAAUCAAAAUCGCAACAUCCCCGAUGAGGGACUACACGGUCACGACAAACAGGUCGUGACACUAAGCUACUUUUUUUUGGUAUUUAAAAUCAUGAAGUAGUAAAAAUGGGGGUUUGAUUCUAAUUUUCUUUUUAUUUGACAAAUCGAAGAUAGAAAUUUUUUACUCUUUAUCUCUAUUUUAAAUUUUUAUCAAAUGAAUAGAGCCUUAUUUAUUCCGGGGAGAAGUGAAUAAUAAUAGACAUGACUUACACUCAAAUAAUCAUGUAAUUAUUAUGCUAUACUAUAUCUAGCCGUGUCUAAUGAGGCAUUGCAACAGCAAAAUACCAUACAUACACUAAUAAAAACAAAAAAUAUAUAGAGUUUGCUUUCAUUGUCAAAGUAUAGAUAUAUUGUCAUACGUUUUAAAUUAUCACAAAAACCAACUUGUGACAUCAAAAGUACAGCUUCAAGGCGGCUUGCCCAACCCCAACUCCUUUGUUAGUAUUUACAAAUUCUAUUUGUUCUUUCUUGGAUAUAAUUUUGAACCGACAACCUUGUAUUCGAUUAUUAACUAAUCACAUUCUUGUGUUGGGUAUUCUUUUUCUUCUUAUUUUCUUUAAAGAAAAAACUAUCAUGGUACUUUAAAUUAGAGGAUUUCGGUAGGAUCCUAGCGUCUAUGAUUCAAAACCCUUUAGUUUCUAACAUGUAUAUGCAUAUGUAGAUAGUAUCUUCAAUUCAUUUUAAAUGUCGUUUUAAGAUUAUAACAUACUCGAUAACAAAACUAUUUAAAGGUAUUGAUUAUUAAGUUCAUUAAAUAAAUUAUACUCUACUUUCCUCAAAAUAAAAAUAAAUGUUGUAAGAUUUUCUAAAAUAAUGAUGUGUCAUUUAUUGAACCAAGAGUAGAUUUGAAAGAAGAAGAAAUGUCUUUUUGGUUUUUUAAAGUGAACGUUAUUUUGGAAAAAAUUUAUUUGACUAAAACUACAGUUAAAAUGGACUGAAAGUAGUAUUUAAUUAAAUACUUCGAUAUUCAUAGCCAGUGCAUUUUUAUUUGUUGCUUUCGUUCAAAUAGAAAAAAGUUUAUAGAUCAAGUUUAAGGACACGUACGUUAACUAAUACAUCAAAAUCUACACAACUGAAAGAGUUUCAGCUUUGACUCAUGCUCAACUGUGGAAUCCUAGUCCUUUUGCAUACAUCGCCUCCGUAUCUUUAAACAAUUUUAAAUUUCUAAGAAAUUAUUGUGUUGCAUUCAUCAAAAUCUUAGAUGAUAUAUACGAGCCUAACGAAUUAGUUGUAGCAAAAACAAAAGUGUGCCUAAAAAUGGAGGUUGAUUUGCACAAAUAAGAUAAUUUUGCACAUCUAAUGGUUACCAAUUGGUUGAUGAUUUCCAAGUAUCUUUACCUUUGCUCCAAGAAGUUGGAUGACUUCUAGACUUUCUAUCCUUGAGUUGUUCAUCAAUCUUGAUGGCAUUUGCAUAUGCUUCAUCUGAGGAUUCAACAACAAUAACAAACCCAGUACAGUCCCGCAAGUGGGAAAUCUGCAUCUUUAUCUAAGGAUUCAGAUGAGAAUAAAUUCCAAGUAUUAGCAAUCUGCAUGUUCAAGCCGUAUAUGAUAGCAAGUUGGUCAUUCUCAUCAAUAUUCUCUCUCAUUCUUGUUGCAAGGUGUACCGCUUCUUGAGGAUGUCCU